rnacentral:ncRNA from 1 species
CUAUGACUAUUACUAUUAGUCAUGGCGGAAGGAG